rnacentral:lncRNA from 1 species
UAUUAUUAUUAUUAUUAUUAUUAUUAUUAUUAUUAUUAUUAUUAUUAUAAGUACAUGUAUACAUCUUUUAAUAAAGUUUUCUCAAAAUAGAAGUUUCAAAAUUUUUGAAUUUUCUUAAAUUUAUAAUUGUCAAAAAUAUUAUCUUUCAUUUUGUCGAUUUGAAUAACGCACAAUUAAAAGACUUCUAGAUGAGGAGGGGGGUCACAGAGGGACCGCUUAAAUCUCAAGCUUUUUUUUAGACAAUUUAGGUCCUUUUGACAAAGCCUUUCAAUUUUGCAAUUAUGCAAUUGAACAAAAUUCAAACAAUAAAUUGAACGUGGAAUCUCUUAAAAUAUUAUUUUUUUCAAAGGUCCAUUUUUUUUUUUAAAACAUCCCCAAAAGCUAAAGUUAAAACACAUAGAAAUUUAUCAUAUGUAAGAUUUAAAUCAU